GGGGUCCUGGAUGUGCUCUCUGCUCGUUCUUCAAAGUGUGGGAAGGUGUACUGCUUGACUUUCUGGUCUACCCUGUUCUCAAGUGUGUCUUCAUAUCAUUUACUCUCACCAGAUCCACUUUUCCUGCGCCCCUGGAGCUUUCCAAGUUGAGCAUUGUUUCCUACUGCACAAGGAUUCUUCCCACUUCAGAAUUGCAGCUACGACACUGUAUUGUCUUUUCAGCAGCAGCUUCCCUAACCCCGAAGGCUAGGUGCCUGCCAGUGCCCUGAUGUCUCUGUCCUUCAGAAAUGUUUGUGGCUGAGGGCAUCCGUGAAUAAAGGCAUAAAUCUGAAUAAGAGUGAAGGAUAA
rnacentral:lncRNA from 1 species